CUUCUUCAAAUUGAAAAAGUCUAGAUAAAAUAGAAUUCUUUUAUGAUUAAGUCUUCCAUAAAAAAAAUAUCUCAUCCAAAUCAAUCUACAUGAUAAAUUCAAAAAUUAUCAAAACUUUGAGAUGGAUAUGACUCCCACUUCUCACCUAUAAAUAAAGGCUUUGGGACUCUCCAAGGUACGCAAUUGACUUCUCGCUCUCUCCUCUCAUUGUUCUCUAUCUUC
rnacentral:lncRNA from 1 species